rnacentral:rRNA from 1 species
GAUGAACGCUGACAGCAUGCUUAACACAUGCAAGUCAACUUGGUGGCGGACGGGUGAGUAACGCGUAAAGAACUUACCUCACAGUUAGGGACAACAUUUGGAAACGAAUGCUAAUACAUAAUAUGUGAGAGAGCUUUGCGUCCCAUUAGCUAGUUGGAGAGGUAACGGCUCACCAAGGCGAUGAUGGGUAGCCGGCCUGAGAGGGUGAUCGGCCACAAGGUGACUGAGACACGGCCCUUACUCGUACGGGAGGCAGCAGUGAGGAAUAGUGGUCAAUGGGCGUUAGCCUGAACCAGCCAAGUAGCGUGAAGGAUGAAGGCGUAUGGGUCGUAAACUUCUUUUAUAUAAGAAUAUGUAUUAUAUGAAUAAGGACCGGCUAACUCCGUGCCAGCCGCCGCGGUAAUUC